UUAAAGUUUUAUUCUUGCUUAAUUAUUUAUUUAAUUUUUUUUUUACAUGUAAAUUUUUGUAGGUUAAUUUAUUAAUUUUCUUAAUGAAAGUUAAUUAUAGGUUUUUCGCAGUAUUUAAUUUUAUUGAUCAAGGAAAUUUGGAAUUAGAAAUAUAUUUUAUUAUUGGUUAAAAUCGUGCCAGCUGCCGCGGUUAUACGAGGGAUGAAAAUAAAUAUUUUUAGUUUAUAGUUAUUAAUUUAAUAGAAAUUAAAUUUAAAUUUAUUAAGUGAAAUUUUAAAUUUAUUUAUUUUCAAUUUAUUUUAUAUGAGGCUAUUAAAUUUUAAUAUUAAACUAGGAUUAGAUACCCUAUUAUUUUGAAUGUAAAUAUUUAAAACUUAAGUAGUAUUAGUUAUAAUCUUUAAACUUAAAGAAUUUGGCGGUAUUUUAGUCUUUUCAGAGGAACUUGUCCCGUAAUCGAUAAUCCUCGAUAAUCUUACUUAAUUUUGUAUUCAAUUUGUAUACCGCCGUUAUCAGAAUAUUUUAUAAGAAUUUAAAUUUUCUAAAAUUUUUAUUAAAAAUGAUUUCAGGUCAAGGUGCAGUUUAUAAUUAAGUGGAGAUGAGUUACAAUAAAUUUAUUUAUAUGGAUUUUUAAAUUAAAUUUUAAAAUGAAGGUGGAUUUGAUAGUAAAUUAGUUAAUUUAGAUUGAUUGAUUAUAGCUCUAAAAUAUGUACAUAUCGCCCGUCGCUCUCGUUAUUUAAAAUGAGAUAAGUCGUAACAUAGUAGAUGUACUGGAAAGUGUAUCUAGGUUGUUAAAUU
rnacentral:ncRNA from 1 species